UACACUUUCAUCUUAACCAUUGAUUUGAAAAAUGAAUGGUCAAGAUUACUUCUCAUCCUACUUAGGCAAAAUAAAAAAGUUUAUUUUGCCUAAGUAGGAUGAGAAGUAAUCUUGACCAUUCAUUUUUCAAAUCAAUGGUUAAGAUGAAAAUGUA
rnacentral:pre_miRNA from 2 species